GAGGAGAGAAGAGCAGAGCAGAGAAGGGAGAGGAGAAGAGAAGGGAGAGGAAAGAAAGAAAGACUCAAGUGGUGCCCCUGGCCAAGGACUGUAAUGAAGUUACCUAUCUCUCGACCCGGUCAAAUCGAAGACGACGCUGUUGGAUUCAAUGCGUCAGAGACAACGAAUUUAAGACGAUCCCCACCCCCGAUUUCGACCACCAAAGAACUAAGGGAAAAAACCUAAUCUUGGGUCAGGUGCCUGAAUCCAAGACGAGGUUUUCCCCAAGUUCCUCGAUGUUAGAAAUUGAGUAAAGGUAAAAAGUGCACCCUCCUUUGUAUCGAUAUGUAAUGCAAAUAAUGCAUACAAGGAGAAAGAACCUG